UACGUAGGGUGCGAGCGUUAAUCGGAAUUACUGGGCGUAAAGCGUGCGCAGGCGGUUUGUUAAGCCAGAUGUGAAAGCCCCGGGCUCAACCUGGGAACUGCGUUUGGGACUGGCAAGCUAGAGUGCGACAGAGGGGGGUGGAAUUCCACGUGUAGCAGUGAAAUGCGUAGAGAUGUGGAGGAACACCGAUGGCGAAGGCAGCCCCCUGGGUCGACACUGACGCUCAGGCACGAAAGCGUGGGGAGCAAACAGG
rnacentral:rRNA from 1 species